UACGUAGGGGGCAAGCGUUGUCCGGAAUCAUUGGGCGUAAAGCGCGCGUAGGCGGCCCCGUAAGUCCGCUGUGAAAGUCAAAGGCUCAACCUUUGAAAGCCGGUGGAUACUGUGGGGCUAGAGUCCGGAAGAGGCGAGUGGAAUUCCUGGUGUAGCGGUGGAAUGCGCAGGAUAUCAGGAGGAACACCAAUAGCGAAGGCAGCUCGCUGGGACGGUACUGACGCUAAGGCGCGAAAGCGUGGGGAGCGAACAGG
rnacentral:rRNA from 1 species